AUAAAACAAAAGCCUUAUUGUAGUUUCACAUCAUUGUUUCAGGAAGAAACCACUGCUUGAAACUGCUGCGAGGCCUUCAAGUUCCGCUGGUCUUUCACUUCCACAAUUUUAGAGAUUGUUGACUAUUAUGUAACAGAUGGCCUGACAGACCUCCGACUCUUUGCAGUGAUGGCUAGCUUGGCGUAGAAAAUAGCAGCACUGGAGUAAGCAUUCAGCGGCAUAGACGCUCAUGAAUUUUAACUCCUCAGUGACAAAGGAAUUCAAGGGGAAAUAUUUCUGUGCCUGGCCAGUCAUUGAAAACUUUUCCUGGUAAAGUAGAGGAAGAAGGGGGAAAAGACAUUCACCUCAGAAGAGCAUCCUCAAAACAAAUCAGUCAGGGACACACGUCUCUUCCCUCAGCACACCUCCAUCCUGCAGUCAUUGCUGUAAGACAGAGACUCUCCAUAGCACCUCUGGGACGUAGAACGCUAUCCACUCCCUGCCAGAUCUUCUUGAUGUUGAGUUUUCCAAAGACAUUUUCUCAAAGGGAGAGCACAAUGAAGAGGCCAGCCAGCAGCUCCAGUCUCAGUCGGAGAUCACAACUGUCCAGUGAGGCUGAGAAGCAGGGAGAUAUGUCCUCCCCUCCCCACUGCCAACAUGUGGGCCUGGAGUGCUCUCAGGAAACGUUCAUCACCAGCUCUGGCCAGAAGAUGAAACUGGGCAGAUGAUAUGUUUCAAUGUCUCUUAUUUGUAGUAGUGGUAAAUUUCUUCUCUCUUUUUUAGGGCUAUCAGAAGGCAAAAAGGUAGAGGUUAGGGAGCUGAUACUUCGGCAAAGUGAUGACCUGUGCUCAUACAGUGGUGGUUUCACUUUGUGUGUUAGCUGUUUGCAGCAGUGUCUCAGAGGACAGGGUGUUUGGGGGGUUUUCAACCCCACGUAACCAAUCUGAUGAUGACAUAGUCACUUUUCAUCUUAAUGGGUCUAUCCUGCAAUUCUGGUGAAAUAUUUGGUAUCCAUGAAUCAAAACAGAAAGUAGCUGACUUUCAUUUUUAACAUAGCUAUGGAAGUACUUUCCAUGCACUUUUUUUUUCCCCCUUAAUAAUGCUCUCAAAACUCUUUCUACAUAAGAUUUGAUAACUAGAAGGCAAUACUUUGCAGUUUAAUAGUUUGUGGAACUUUUCUAAUUGUUAAUACAACUCUGCUAGCUGAGGAGUACAGAAACAUAGAAUUCUCCUGCUGAAAUCACAUCUGAUAUGCCCGGAUUUCUCUGAUAGGAAUCGUGCUGUAUUUCUUUAUUUUUUCCAGGCUAAUGUUUAUAUUAGCAUGGACAAACAACAACAAAGAAAAAAUAUGCAUCUUUUUUGCAUUAUUUCUUGUUAAAUUUGUCUUCUUUAGACUAGCCACUUUCUGAACUUCAGGCAAACAAAGAUAGGCAUAACACAUGUCUAAAAUCAGUGAGAGGCAAAUGCGGCACAGUCCUUUGCUUCUUUGUGAGUCAAAUGCUCCAGCCCCCUAAUAAACAUCUGCAAAAAAAGAAAAAAAGAAAAAAA
rnacentral:lncRNA from 1 species